CGAUGCAUGGCAACUGGUUUGUUUGCACUAUGUAACCCAAUAUAACCUUUUCUUUUGUGCAGGUAUUGAGGCCACAUCCAGCCGUCAUAACCACAAAACAUGCCAGUUUUACAUGUGCUGCUAUUCAAUCUGUCAUCAGCAACCAUCUCAUCGAUUGGAUAAUCAGGAUCCCGUUCCAUUCCAGAAACUUCCCAUGUCGGUGGAGUUACCGAUGUCUUCUUCUCCUUUCUUUUUAAAAAGUCCUCGUGUACGCACAUGUGAGUGUGGGUGUAUUCACGAGGACGCCCUUUUCCCUAUUCCGCCUGAUGUAAUUCAACUUUUCAGCGGAUGGAUGGAGCAACUGUGAGGAUGCCUGGCCGAUUUCCCAGGCUAAAAGGUAGGAAAAAAUUCAAUUCCUUUUCCAUGCAAAUUCCUUGUGACUAUUUGGUGGCAUUGAUUAUAAAUCGUUAUCCAGAGUACGGAAUACGAUUAUUCCUGAGCUACCGGUAUGCGGUUGACUCGAACUGUUUUCUCUUGGCAUUUUCUGUUUACUCAGUCAGGAUUCAUUUUUUAAAAAAUCAUUUUUAUAACGACCCACUUUUGUACUUCACAACUUUGUCUGCGCGUAAACAAUCGAAUUUCAAACUAUUUGAACUUUAAACACUUUAAACAAAGUUUCAACUUGGAAAAUUUGUUUCAAACCAAGAGGGACUUCACUUGCUACCGCCAAACUGGCACCUCCUCGCGCAAUGAAAUGGGAUUUUUUAUUUUUCUUUUCCAGACCAUUUGCCAAUAAGCCCAAUAUAAUCUCAUCUAUUUAAAUGUGAA